GAUGAACGCUGGCGGCGUGCCUAAUACAUGCAAGUCGAGCGAACAGACGAGGAGCUUGCUCCUCUGACGUUAGCGGCGGACGGGGGAGUAAAACGUGGAUAACCUACCUAUAAGACUGGGAUAACUUCGGGAAACCGGAGCUAAUACCGGAUAAUAUAUUGAACCGCAUGGUUCAAUAGUGAAAGACGGUUUUGCUGUCACUUAUAGAUGGAUCCGCGCCGCAUUAGCUAGUUGGUAAGGUAACGGCUUACCAAGGCGACGAUGCGUAGCCGACCUGAAAGGGUGAUCGGCCACACUGGAACUGAGCCACGGUCCAGACUCCUACGGGAGGCAGCAGUAGGGAAUCUUCCGCAAAGGGCGAAAGCCUGACGGAGCAACGCCGCGUGAGCGAUGAAGGUCUUCGGAUCGUAAAACUCUGUUAUUAGGGAAGAACAAAUGUGUAAGUAACUAUGCACGUCUUGACGGUACCUAAUCAGAAAGCCACGGCUAACUACGUG
rnacentral:rRNA from 1 species